UGUCCCAGUAGCUCAAUUGGAUAGAGCAUCCCCCUCCUAAGGGGAAGGUUGGCCGUUCGAACCGGCCCUGGGACACCAU
rnacentral:tRNA from 1 species